rnacentral:rRNA from 1 species
CCUACGGGUGGCAGCAGUGGGGAAUAUUGGACAAUAGGGGGAACUCUGAUCCAGCGACGCCGCGUGAGUGAAGAAGGAUUUCGGUAUGUAAAGCUCUAUCAGUAGGGAAGAAAGAAAUGACGGUACCUGAUUUAGAAGCCCCGGCUAACUACGUGCCAGCAGCCGCGGUAAUCCGUAGGCGGCAAGCGUUAUCCGGAUUUACUGGGUGUAAAGGGUGCGUAGACGGCGAUGCAAGUCAGAGGUGAAAGGCGGGGGCCCAACCCCUGAACUGCUUUGGAAACUGUAUGGCUGGAGAGCAGGAGAGGUAGGUGGAAUUCAUGGUGUAGCGGUGAAAUGCGUAGAGAUUAGACAGAACACCAGUGGCGAAGGCAGCUUACUGGGCUAUAACUGACGUUGAGGCUCGAAAGCGUGGGGAGCAAACAGGAUUAGAUACCCCGGUAGUC